CUGGAAUGUUCGCAAUGAAAGGGAAUGAAGUACUGAUACGCAGUACUACCCAGAAGAACCUUAAAAAUAUCCUGUUAAGUGAAAGAAGUCAAAUGCAAAAGAUCACAUAGGAUUACGAUUCCACUUAUAUAAAAUGCCCAGAAUUGACAAAUCCAUGGAAGCAGAAAGUAGAUUUUUGGUUGGUUAGAGGAUAGGAAGGUUGGGAGAAGUGAUAGUUAAAAGGUACAGGGUUUUGCCUGGUGUGGUGGCACAUACCUGUAAUCCUAGAGGUUCAGGAGACUGAGACAGGAGGAUCACGAGUUCAAAGACAGCCUCCGCAACAGCGAGGUGCUAAGCAACUCAGUGAGACCCUGUCUCUAAAUAAACUACAAAAUAUGGCUGGGGAUGUGGCUCAGUGGAGUGUCCCUGAGUUUGAUUCUGCUGGUUAUCAGUUCUGCUCCCUCACAUGAAGUGAAGUAUAACAUUAGAGAAGUAUGCUGAGGCAAGCAUAUAAAGCAGGGUUUAUUUAAAAGGAGGUAACAUAGACUUCUCCCUGGUGGGAGAAGGGGGCCAUAGUUGGUAUUCCGGUAUCCCAAGAAGUGAAGGUGUUCUGCCUUUUUAUAUGUCCUUGGCUUCCUUUGUUCUCCUGCUCUGUUCUCUACCCCUAUCUCUCUCCUUCCUGCUUAUGUAACUAGGCCCAGGAGGUGCUGAGUGGGAUGGCCAAAAGGUGGGAAACAGGUGGGCUGGAGUGGCAGAGGAGGAGUGAUCCAGGAAAGAAGGGGGCAGGAAGGGGGUGUGAUUAACAACUCUUUCUAGGGAGGGACAAUCCCUGGGACAGGUUACCUUAGCAACAGAUUGGAGCAGGGGCCAGUUAGCUUGAUAAGGGCCAAAGAAAGGGCUCUGAAGGAAUUAACAUUCAAUUCCUUCAUUCUCUGGGUCUGACCCUUGCCUAUCUGCCUAAUUCUGGCUUCAAUUUUAAUACCCCUCUCCCCCCCAAAAGGUAAAGGGUUUUAAAAUUGUUUUAGAUGUUGGUGGACCUUUAUUUUACUUAUUUAUAUGCAGUGCUGAGAAUAGAACCCAGUGCCUCUCCUGUGCUAGCCAAGUGCUCUACCACGGAGCCACAACUCCAGCCCCAAGGGCUUGUUUUUGAGAUGAUGAAAAUAUUAUAAAAUUGACUGGCCCAGCAUGGUGGCAUAUGCCUGUAAUCCCAGCAAUUUAGGACACUGAGACAGGAAGAUCACAAGCCUGGAUAGCACAGCAAGACCUGGGGUGUGGCUCAGUAGUAGAGGGUCUCUGGGUUCGAUCCCCAGUGAUACUGCUGGUUAUUGGUGACUGAGUUCGGCUCCCUCAAAUGUUGAAGUCUGAACCCUAGAGAAGCACAUCGAGGCAAGCAUAGAAAGCAGGGUUUAUUUAGGAAGGGGUAACAUAGACUUCUCCUGGGAGAGAGAAGGGGGCCAUCGCUGGUAUCCUGGUAUCCCAAGAAGCCAGGUGUUCUGACCUUUUUAUAUGUCCCAGGCUUCUGAUAGACCCAACCUGAUCUUUUAUUAAAAUUGGGAGCCAUCUUGCCACAAAGCCAUGAAAAGAUAAUUUCGGCUUUACUAUAAAUUACUGCAAAUUCUGAACCUGCUUGGAAUGCCUGCCCGUGCCUUGAACUCACCCAUGCCUGACUCUCUGACCAGAUAGCAGCCCUCUCUGAAACUUUAGUGACACCUCAUAAAUAUUGGCCUUCCCUGGCCAGACAACGACCCUCUCUGAGGCUCUAAUGGUCCUCAUAAAUUCUGAUGUUGGGGCCAGCAAAAAAAAAAAAAAAUGUAAACUACCAUUAGUGUGAUGCUUGUCAGAGUUCUGUUAUCUGUAACCCCCCUUUGUGUAACUUUCUGGGCUAUAAAGCUGGGCUACAGGAAAGCUGCGGCUGCUGUCUUGUUCCCGCGGUUUUGGGUGGGAGAGGCAGCCCAGAGCCGG
rnacentral:lncRNA from 1 species